UGGGGAAUUUUGCACAAUGGGGGAAACCCUGAUGCAGCGACGCCGCGUGAUUUAGAAGGCCUUCGGGUUGUAAAAAUCUUUUCUAUGGGAAGAAAAUGACAGUACCAUAGGAAUAAGGACCGGCUAAUUACGUGCAACCAGCCGCGGUAAUACGUAAGGUCCGAGCGUUGUCCGGAAUCAUUGGGCGUAAAGGGUACGUAGGCGGGUAAGCAAGUUAGAAGUGAAAUCCUAUAGCUCAACUAUAGUAAGCUUUUAAAACUGCUCAUCUAGAGGUAUGGAAGGGAAAGUGGAAUUCCUAGUGUAGCGGUGAAAUGCGCAGAUAUUAGGAGGAAUACCGGUGGCGAAGGCGACUUUCUGGCCAUAACCUGACGCUGAGGUACGAAAGCGUGGGUAGCAAACAGG
rnacentral:rRNA from 1 species